rnacentral:lncRNA from 1 species
GGGAAGGCAAAGAAAUGAUCUCUGUUAGUCUGAUGUGCCAGGGAAGGAACCCUAAUGUGCUGUCCACAGGACCAAACUUCAAGACUAAAUCAGGAUCUGGAAAUCCACUUGUACUACUUAACAAGUUGUCUAACACAUUCACAUCCAGGUCUGUAUACGUUCUUUGCUGUUGUGCUACCAACUGACAAAAGUUCUGAGCAGCUUUUACUAUGUCUGCUUUUCCAUCUUCUGGAGACAGCACCUUCAAUGUAGAUUGGCAAUUUAAAACUUGAUCAGCUUUGUCUUGAUUUGCAAAUUCCACUGUGUAUUUGGAGCAGUCUAAUCCUAAGAGUUCUUGCUCCUGUUUUAAAAUUUCAUCCAUCAGUCUUGAAUUAUUCCUCUUGAAAAUACCGUUGUGGUCGUAGACGCUGACGUAGGAGAUGCCCACCGCCAUGCACCACACCACCAGGCUGGCCAUGUCCGCGUAGCUCGGCUCCUCCUCGGUCACCACCAGACCCACGUGCAGCGGCAGCUUCUGCAGGGCCCGCCCGUCCGCGCGACCCCUCGCUCGAACCCCGGGCCGCCUCCUGCCGGGCCGCCGCACCCCUCGGGCCGCGCCGGGGAAGGCGAGGGCGCGCGCGGCGGGGCCCAGCAAGGCGCAGGAGGCGGCGGCGCGGCGUCGGAGCCAGGCGCGGGGCGCGGCCAGCAGCGCGCGCUGCAGGCAGAGCAAUGCGCGCAGCAGGGCGUGCAGCGCGCGCCACGCCAGGCCCCCCACCGCGCUCAUGGGGAGCGCUCCGCGCACGGCCCGCGACGGCCGCCUUCAGCCGCAGCGCGCCGCACGCCGCGCCAUCGCUUCGCGCGCGUCACAGAGUCCGCGUCUCUCGCCCGGCGCCCGUCGCCCGCACCGCCAUCUUCCUGGCUCCCCUCCUGAUCUUUCACCUCUCACCCCGCCACAUGCGCGGUGCCCGUUGGCCGCCUGGCUAGUGACGUCACUUCCGCCCACGGCGAGCGAAUGACGUGGCCGUACGGGAAGAGGCGGGGAAGGGUGUGGGGGGAGCGGCAUGUCGGGGCCUCGCCCACUGGCGGCCUCGGGGUGUGGCCUUUCUGGGACGUGCGGCGUGUCUCGUUCUGCGCCUCUGCCUUCCUCGUGUGAGCCGUGCCCGCUUAGGCUGACUCGAGUGGGAGGAGGGCCAUGUUUGGGCUCAGAGGGGCAGCCUCGUUCUAGUGUAGCGCCUCUAUCUGGGUGAGGUACAGGAGGCGUUUUGUCUUGGCUUGUAGCUGUGCGUAGGCAUGAGGACCUAUAGGUGCAGGUUCCUAUUCCUCACAGGCAGUAGGUUGUGCAAGAGCCUUCCGCCUUGUCCUGGGCAAAUGGGCUGAAGUGACAAGGGAGGGUGUGCCGUCAGUACAGAGCUGAAUGAAAAGUACAGCAGUGUGAAAAUAUCUUUUCUUAUUGAGAAUGUCCUCCUCAGACCAUUAUUAGCCAACAAAAACAACGCAUUCGAACUGCUAGGAAGCUUGUGCUGUUCCAUAAACAUCUACAUCUUUAUCUACCAACAGUUGUAGCUGAUGACAUGUUCAGAAGUUAAAAUGUAAAGAGGAAUUAAUGUGAGCCUCUUAACGUACGUUGCUUAGUGUGUUAAAAAACUCAAGUGUCAGUGGAUCCUGCAGAGGUGCCAUGGCCCCAUAGCUGAGCUCUGACACCUCACAAAACAGGCAUUACGAAUGGGAGUGAUUAUUCAGUUACGGAAUGCCAGCAGAAGAUAAAGAAUAAUAGAAACUGUUUGCUUUGAAAAGUAAUUUGCUGGUGUGCUUACUCCUCACUUAUCAGCUGAGAUUUAUGAACUGCCAGGAAGCCCCUUAGAUUACUGCUUGUAAUUCGCUGCUUUUAGUGGUAUGGGUAUUCCAAUUUUGUUUAAUUUUCAAGCACUUUGAGAACUGCCUGAUAAAAUUUGCACAUAUAUCAGAUUUGAUGCAUACACCAUGAAGUCCUUUUGUGUUGCAAAAGUCUAGAAGGUUCCCACCAGUGAAAGGGGCACUUGCAGUGUGCGCUUCCAUGUGAACCCAAAGGUAUACAUACAUACAGCAGCUCAACCUGAAUGGCGGUCAAUUCAUUUAUCGGCUACAAAAUAAAUUAUUGCAAUAGCCUUGGCUCAUUGGGCCUUCUCCUGGUUCUAGGCAGAGGUAGAAAAUGGUUUCCUGAGAGCGUCCCUUCUUUUGUUUAAAAUAUUAGAUUUGGAUCAAAUUGACCCCCAGCCUUUUCAUUCACUAAUUAACUUUGGAACAACCAUUAAACCUCAUUAACCGGGACACUGAUUCUUCUGUUUGUUGUACCUGCCAUGAUGAAGAUGAACCCUCUGUGUUUUGCCUGGAGCUCGGUUAAUUUAGUUUACUAUCAUUUCAAAUUGCCUAAAACAAAAAGGCAAAUAUUUCUGGAAAACUGAAAUUAACAUUUCAAAAGCAAGAACCUCCAAAUAGUCCUGGGGAAUUGACCACAUCCAUGUAACUCUCCAUGCUGAGCUGAGUUUAAGUGUAUCAAAUACCACACUACAGACAGAAUAUCUUCACACUGCUGCAGAAUCUUUUUGGAAGACAUCCAGCUUUCUCCUCGGCUUUCUGCUGGUGCUGCACACUGCCCUCCCCUCACAUCCGUUCCUUUGGCCAUCAACACUCCUCUGGUCCUCAGAAGGUCGCAGGUGCAGUUCCAAGGGUUUCCAUCUAAAUAGAGAUGCCGGAGACGAGGUAAAUACUCUAAAACUUUGCG